GGUAAAUAGAUAUAUUGUUAACAUAAAAUAACUGUGUUUAUCGCUAACACACCUUAACGCCGCAUUUAAAAGAACAAAUAUCGGUCACAAAACUAGAGUAAAUACUCAGGUAAAUAUUUGUUUUUGUAAAACUGACACGUGAUCGAAGUUCUAUUCUACUUUCGAUUUUAAAGUUAAGUGUGAAAAAAUGGCGACAAAGAAGGAGUAAACAGAAUACGGCAAAUAACAAAGACUGUAUGGCUUCACACUAUGGUUUACUUAAAAUUGAAAGCUAUAUGAAGAGUAGGAUGCUCAAGUAUUUGCCAAGUAAACAGGACACAGAACGUUAGUAAGAUACGAAACUUAUCUAUAGAUCACUUAAAAAUGAAGAGCUAACGCCGCCUGAAAUACAAUAAUAAGACAGAUCUCGUUACAUUGCGCCAAGGGUUGAUAUCCGCUUACAUCCGUUUUCUACAAGAGACACUUUACAAGAGUAGUUUUAAGGGAUUUACCAGACAUUUAUCGGCGGAAAGAAAACAGCCCAAAAUAAAACACAAUCUAUAUUUUCAUGCACUUUUUCUAGUUUCAGUAAAUUUACUGUGUUUUAUUUAGUAAAAUCCAUAUUGAAAUCGAGAUCUAUUUCUAAAAAAAAAAGCCACUCGAUAGUUAGUUCAAAUUUAGAUGGUAAAUCAUAACUUUACGAUUUUACAUAAUGUUACACUUGCCUAAAUGUAAAUGUAUACAUGUACAUACCAUUCAAAAUUAUAUUGUUACAAGUGGAAAUACUUGUGCAGGUUGAUAGAUGCUAACAUACAAUGUGAUGAAAAAUAUGGUUUUUGUUGUCUUUAUAAAUAAUAAGUUUAUAAACUGUGUUCUUGGUUUUUUUUAUUAUAUACAAAACAAAAUUGUCAAAGGAAAUUGGAUAAUAACACUAUAUUUCUCAUAUGUCUAAUUCACAUGGUUUAGGUUGAAUUUGAUUUUAGUUCAACUCGUCUCUGUUUCAUUUUGUUGUUCAUUCAGCUGUUAACCAUUGCUUUUCGUUUAAGCUAUGAUAACAUCUUAUCUACGAAACGUUUCAUCACGUGAAUUAUCGAUUAUUCCAAAAAGUAGUAGUAUAGUUGGCAAAACGUCGUUUUUAUAGCCAAUAUUGUCAUUUACAUCUAUUUUUCGAUUUAUUGCAGAGUAUUGAUUUGUUUUAGUUAAUUAUUGUCCCAAUAUCAAAUGGGUUUCGUUUGAUUACAAUCCGUUAGCCAGAACAAAGACUUGUAAAUACCCAGAGUGAAAUAUCACUAUCCAAUUUCAACUAAAUUAAUAAUUCAAUUAUUUGUGGAACCAACCAUCAGUCAAUCAAUUUUUUUUUACACUGACAAGAUACAAAGUUAAUCAUACAAUUUUUACAGUGGGUUUUUCUUUUAUUUGAAUUGGUCUCAGCAAACAGUAUUUCUUUAAUUAAAGGGGAAGGAAAGUCAAAAACAUAAUUUAUCUAUUUUAAUAAAGUGGUGUAAAUUAUCGCAUGUGGUCAUGCUGUUUUGAAAAUAAAAUACGUAAUUAAGCUUUAAUGAACGUUUGAAGUUGGAGAAAUCGUAUUUACUGGAGGCUGACAUGAUGUAGAACUC